rnacentral:lncRNA from 1 species
GAGGAGUGCUCAUCCUUUGGAAGGCAUACAAAAUAAGGCAUCAGCCGAGCUUUCAUUAUGUACUAAAAUCCUUUUUUAAAACCUUGCAAUGAUGAGAGAAAUAGCUACAGCGUCGUCAUAAAGAGGGCUCAACACCCUUUUGGUCUUCAUCAGAAAAGGAGAUGUGACUUUCACAGAGCACGGAUGCUUUGAGGAAGCUCUUUUUUCCGAGCUCGGAGCUUCUAGUGCCUCUAGUUGCCCGCACUCUGAUGGUAUUGAUGAUGCCCGUGAGAGGUCAGUUGUCAUUCUGCUCCUUAUGCGGCACUGGAUUUUGUUCCUCGGGCUCUCUCCUGUAGGCAUGAUCACGGACAAAAUAACUCAACCGACCUCGGCAGACAAGUGCCUCGAUCUCAUCACGAAGCUCGUAGCAAUCCUCC